CCUACGGGAGGCAGCAGUGGGGAAUAUUGCACAAUGGGCGAAAGCCUGAUGCAGCCAUGCCGCGUGUGUGAAGAAGGCUCUAGGGUUGUAAAGCACUUUCAGUAGGGAGGAAAUGUUAACGAUUAAUACUCGUUAGCUUUGACGUUACCUACAGAAGAAGCACCGGCAAACUCCGUGCCAGCAGCCGCGGUAAUACGGAGGGUGCGAGCGUUAAUCGGAAUUACUGGGCGUAAAGCGCGCGUAGGUGGUUUGAUAAGCUAGCUGUGAAAGCCCCGGGCUCAACCUGGGAACUGCAGUUAG
rnacentral:rRNA from 1 species